rnacentral:rRNA from 1 species
UACAGAGGGUGCGAGCGUUUGUCCGGAAUUACUGGGCGUAAAGCGCACGUAGGCGGCUUUGUAAGUUAGAGGUGAAAGCCCGGGGCUCAACUCCGGAAUUGCCUUUAAGACUGCAUCGCUAGAAUUGUGGAGAGGUAAGUGGAAUUCCCGGUGUAGUGGUGAAAUGCGUAGAUAUCGGGAGGAACACCAGUGGCGAAGGCGACUACCUGGCCUGUUCUUGACGCUGAGGCGCGAAAGCUAGGGGAGCAAACGGGG